rnacentral:rRNA from 1 species
CGCGUAGGUGGUAGUGCAAGUCUGGGGUGGAAUCCCAGGGCUUAACCCUGGAACUGCCUUGGAAACUGUAUUACUUGAGUCAGUGAGGGGAGGGUAGAAUUCCUGGUGUAGCGGUGAAAUGCGUAGAUAUCAGGAGGAAGGCCUGUGGCGAAGGCGGCCCUCUGGCGCUGAACUGACACUGAGGCGCGAAAGCGUGGGGAGCAAACAGGAUUAGAUACCCUGGUAGUCCACGCCCUAAACGGUGGGUACUAGGUGUAGGGCUCGUAAGGGUUCUGUGCCGAGGCGAAAGCAUUAAGUACCCCGCCUGGGGGAGUACGGCCCGCAAGGGUUGAAA